rnacentral:lncRNA from 10 species
AAGAAGAUCUUAAAAAAAAGACAAUGUCAGUGAUAAAAAGUGGGUGAUGAAUACAUAGGGAAGAAGCCAGUUGAGAUUUUUUAAAAAAUCUUGAAACACAAACUUGGACAUUGGAGCCUUAGCUUUCAGAAUCCUCCCUGAAAGAAGAAAAAUACAUGUUUUUCUCCCCCACUAUAUUGUCACUUCCUCGAGGAAGGACAAGGGCUCAUGUAUUCUGUUUAUCUGCAUGCCUGGAGCCUAACCCAAACCUACGUGUGAACUAAUGCAAGCAGCUAAUGCCAAGCCUAACAUGCUCCAUAUGUGUUAGAAGUUUUAAGGUGAAGAAAAGAACUGGCCUUUUUCUUCCUUUAGCCCUGUGAGACAGACAUUCUGCACUUAAAUUAUCAGCCACAGGGCAUCCGUGGCUGGGAAUCCAAACAGAUGCUAAUGAAUUUGGAACAACAUUUAAGUGGCUGAACAAAAAUGGAUCCUAAACACCCCCAAAUCAAGUGCAACAAACAAGAAAUAGGCUGACACAUUUCUAUCAGGAAGGCAACCAGAAUGUCAAACUCUUGAAUGAU